rnacentral:tRNA from 1 species
GCAGUCGUGGCCGAGUGGUUAAGGCGAUAGACUAGAAAUCUAUCUCCCCGCACAGGCUCGAAUCCUGUGGACUGCG